rnacentral:rRNA from 1 species
GUGCCAGCAGCCGCGGUAAGACGAACCACACGAACGUUAUUCGGAAUUACUGGGCUUAAAGGGUGCGUAGGCGGCGCGGUAAGUAGGGUGUGAAAUCCCUCGGCUCAACCGAGGAACUGCGCUCUAAACUACCGUGCUCGAGGGAGGUAGAGGUGAGCGGAACUUAGGGUGGAGCGGUGAAAUGCGUUGAUAUCCUAAGGAACACCGGUGGCGAAAGCGGCUCACUGGAUCUCUUCUGACGCUGAUGCACGAAAGCUAGGGUAGCGAACGGGAUUAGAAACCCUCGUAGUCC